GAUGAACGCUGGCGGCAGGCCUAACACAUGCAAGUCGAGGGGGAAGUUACUUUCGGGUGACUGAGACCGGCGUACGGGUGCGUAACGCGUAUACAAUCUGCCUUUCACUGGGGGAUAGCCCGAAGAAAUUUGGAUUAAUACCCCAUAGUAUAUAGGGACGGCAUCGUUUUUAUAUUAAAGCUUAGGUGGUGAAAGAUGAGUAUGCGUUCUAUUAGCUAGUUGGAGAGGUAACGGCUCCCCAAGGCGAUGAUAGAUAGGGGUUCUGAGAGGGAUGUCCCCCACACUGGUACUGAGAUACGGACCAGACUCCUACGGGAGGCAGCAGUGAGGAAUAGUGGACAAUGGUCGGAAGACUGAUCCAGCCAUGCCGCGUGCAGGAGGAAGGUCUUAUGGAUUGUAAACUGCUUUUGUAAGGGAAGAAUAAGGGCUACGCGUAGUUUGAUGACGGUACCUUACGAAUAAGCAUCGGCUAACUCCGUG
rnacentral:rRNA from 1 species